GGUCACCUGACUUCCUGUUGGUGUUGCUGAGCUUAGUUGCGGGUUACUUUUCCGAAGCCUCCAUCGCAGCUGAUGCGGAGUGCCGACGUGGAGGAGACCAGGGUGCCUUGGUGGUGGGAUCCUCUGAGUGUACACACCUGCCUUGUUUAAUUUAUAGUG